rnacentral:snoRNA from 1 species
AACCCAUGAUGAGGACAUUCUCUAGUGUAUCCUUUAUGUCUCUCCCAUGCUUCAUCAAAGAUCUCAUGGGUUCCGUGUUUGAAGCUCAAGAUGCCUUUCCUAGCUU